GCUAACUUCGUGCCAGCAGCCGCGGUAAUACGAAGGGUGCAAGCGUUACUCGGAAUUACUGGGCGUAAAGCGUGCGUAGGUGGUUUGUUAAGUCUGAUGUGAAAGCCCUGGGCUCAACCUGGGAAUGGCACUGGAUACUGGCAAGCUAGAGUGUGGCAGAGGGUAGUGGAAUUCCUGGUGUAGCAGUGAAAUGCGUAGAGAUCAGGAGGAACAUCCGUGGCGAAGGCGACUGCCUGGGCCAACACUGACACUGAGGCACGAAAGCGUGGGGAGCAAACAGGAUUAGAUACCCCUGUAGUC
rnacentral:rRNA from 1 species